rnacentral:misc_RNA from 1 species
GCAGGUUUUCUUCUCCAUUGCUAGAGAUAUCAAGCAAAGACUUUCUGAAGUUGAUACCAAAGCUGAGGAUCGGACACUCAAGAUUACUCCGACUGAUGGGUCUGCUGGUGACGGCAAAGCUCCCGAGAAGUCUGCCUGCUGUGGUUCCUGAAGGAAUAAUUUGUGGCUGCUGUUGACUCUUUUAUCGGAAACCGAUUUGUGCUAUACAGAUAAUGGAGAUAAUCAAAAAAUGGCUGGUGUGUGUAUUUCUAUUCCUUGUCAUUCUUUUGUGUUGCACUUCUUAGCCAGAACGAAGUUCUGUUGUAGGCGAAGAUCUUUAUAUCAAACAUGUUACUUGGGACCACAGCCCUCAUUGCUG